rnacentral:rRNA from 1 species
CCAAUAGCGUAUAUUAAAGUUGUUGCAGUUAAAAAGCUCGUAGUUGAAUUUCAGGCCUGGCUGGACGGUCCGCCCUUCGGGUGAGUACUGUCUGUAGUCGGGUCCUACCUUCUGGCGAAGCGUCAUGGCCUUAACCGGCCGUGGCGGGGAACCAGGACUUUUACUGUGAAAAAAUUAGAGUGUUCAAAGCAGGCAAUCGCUUGGAUACAUUAGCAUGGAAUAAUGGAAUAGGACAAUGGUUCUAUUUGUUGGUUUCUAGGACCGUUGUAAUGAUUAAUAGGGAUAGUUGGGGGCAUUAGUAUUCAAUUGUCAGAGGUGAAAUUCUUGGAUUUAUUGAAGACUAACUACUGCGAAAGCAUUUGCCAAGGAUGUUUUCAUUAAUCAAGAACGAAAGUUAGGGGAUCGAAGACGAUCAGAUACCGUCGUAGUCUUAACCAUAAACUAUGCCGACUAGGGAUCGGAUGAUGUUAAUUUUAUAAUGACUCAUUCGGCGCCUUACG